AACGAACGCUGGCGGCAUGCCUAACACAUGCAAGUCGAACGAGACCUUCGGGUCUAGUGGCGCACGGGUUCGUAACGCGUGGGAACCUUCCCUUAGGUUCGGAAUAACUCCCCGAAAGGGGUGCUAAUACCGGAUAAUGUCUUCUGACCAAAGAUUUAUCGCCUUUGGAUGGGCCCGCGUUGGAUUAGCUAUUUGGUAGGGUAAAAGCCUACCAAGGCGACGAUCAAUAGCUGGUCUGAGAGGAUGAUCAGCCACACUGGGACUGAGACACGGCCCAGAAUCCUACGGGAGGAAGCAGUGGGGAAUAGUGGAAAAUGGGCGAAAGCAUGAUCCAGCAAUGCCGCGUGAGUGAUGAAGGCCUUAGGGUUGUAAAGCUCUUUUAACCGGGAUGAUAAUGACAGUACCGGGAGAAUAAGCUCCGGCUAACUCCGUG
rnacentral:rRNA from 1 species